rnacentral:rRNA from 1 species
AAGUCUGACGGAGCAACGCCGCGUGAGUGAUGACGGCCUUCGGGUUGUAAAGCUCUGUUAAUCGGGACGAAAGGCCUUCUUGCGAACAGUUAGAAGGAUUGACGGUACCGGAAUAGAAAGCCACGGCUAACUACGUGCCAGCAGCCGCGGUAAUACGUAGGUGGCAAGCGUUGUCCGGAAUUAUUGGGCGUAAAGCGCGCGCAGGCGGAUCAGUCAGUCUGUCUUAAAAGUUCGGGGCUUAACCCCGUGAUGGGAUGGAAACUGCUGAUCUAGAGUAUCGGAGAGGAAAGUGGAAUUCCUAGUGUAGCGGUGAAAUGCGUAGAUAUUAGGAAGAACACCAGUGGCGAAGGCGACUUUCUGGACGAAAACUGACGCUGAGGCGCGAAAGCCAGGGGAGCGAACGGGAUUAGAUACCCCGGUAGUCCUGGCCGUAAACGAUGGGUACUAGGUGUAGGAGGUAUCGACCCCUUCUGUGCCGGAGUUAACGCAAUAAGUACCCCGCCUGGGGAGUACGACCGCAAGGUUGAAACUCAAAGGAAUUGACAGGGGCCCGCACAAGCGGUGGAGUAUGUGGUUUAAUUCGACGCAACGCGAAGAACCUUACCAGGUCUUGACAUUGAUGGACAG